AGUCACUAAUAAAAGCCACAACACGCAGCCACUAGCACCCACCAUCACAUCCGGUUUAAGGAAACAGAGUGAGCCCAUCCUUGCAGAGGGAGGUUUCUCAUGCCUUCAGCGUCCACCCCCCACUCAUCAUUCCCUACAAACAGCAAGUGCAAGGUGUGGGAGCCCAGUGCUUUAACAGCAAUCAUUCCAGGGCACGCUCCAUGAUAAAGCGUGUUUUUGGAAUGAUGAAGACGAGAUUCAGGGCCAUCAUCCUGCUGGAGUGCUGGUGACUUUGUGGCCCUAGAGGAUGAUGCAGCAGGGGAUGAGGGGGAGGCUGGUUUGGAGGCAGUCACUGGUGCUCUUUGGCAGGACCAGCUGUCUCCUGGGGUGUCUGCCUUGGAGGAUGUACCACCAGAUCAUGACUACUGUUA